rnacentral:rRNA from 1 species
CGAACGCUGGCGGCAGGCCUAAUACAUGCAAGUCGAACGGCUCUUCGGAGCAGUGGCGGACGGGUGAGUAACGCGUGGGAAUGUGCCCUUUGGUACGGAACAACACAGGGAAACUUGUGCUAAUACCGUAUGUGCCCUUCGGGGGAAAGAUUUAUCGCCAUUGGAGCAGCCCGCGUUGGAUUAGGUAGUUGGUGAGGUAAAGGCUCACCAAGCCUACGAUCCAUAGCUGGUCUGAGAGGAUGACCAGCCACACUGGGACUGAGACACGGCACAGACUCCUACGGGAGGCAGCAGUUAGGAAUAUUGGACAAUGGGCGCAAGCCUGAUCCAGCCAUGCCGCGUGAGUGAUGAAGGCCUUCGGGUUGUAAAGCUCUUUAGCCGACGAAUAUAAUGACUGUAGUCGGAGAAUAAGCCCCGGCUAACUUCGUGCCAGCCGCCGCGGUAACAC